rnacentral:rRNA from 1 species
CAAUAGCGUAUAUUAAAGUUGUUGCAGUUAAAAAGCUCGUAGUCGGAUUUUGGCAUCACGCCGAACUGUCUGCCGAUUGGUAAGUACGGUUUGGCGGGUGCUUCCUUCCGGAGGCUCGUUCCCUUCUUCAUUGAAGGGUUCGUUGGUUCCGGGUCUUUUACUUUGAGAAAAUUAGAGUGUUCAAAGCAGGCCUAUGCUCUGAAUGGGUUAGCAUGGAAUAAUAGAAUAGGACUUUGGUUCUAUUUUGUUGGUUUCUAGGACCGAAGUAAUGAUUAAUAGGGACAGUUGGGGGCAUUCAUAUUCCAUUGUCAGAGGUGAAAUUCUUGGACCUCGAGACUAACAACUGCGAAAGACAUUUGCCUAGGAUGUUCUCUUUAAUUCAAGAACGAAAGUU